GAUGAACGCUAGCGGCAGGCCUAAUACAUGCAAGUCAAGGGGAUAGCAAUAUCACCGGCGGACGGGUGCGUAACGCGUACACAACGUGCCCAAGGGCGGAGGAAAGCGGCGGGAAACUGCCGGUAAUACUCCAUGGUGUUGUUGAGUGGCAUCACUUAACAACUAAAGUACAAGCGCCCUUGGAUCGGUGUGCGUUCGAUUAGCUAGUUGGCGGGGUAACGGCCCACCAAGGCUUCGAUCGAUAGGGGGUGUGAGAGCAUGACCCCCANACGGGUACUGAGACACGGACCCGACUCCUACGGGAGGCAGCAGUAAGGAAUAUUGGACAAUGGGCGGAAGCCUGAUCCAGCCAUGCCGCGUGAAGGACGAAGGCGCUCAGCGUUGUAAACUUCUUUUGGAUGGGAACAAUAACUCCGACUUGUCGGAACUUGAGGGUACCAUCAGAAUAAGCACCGGCUAACUCCGUG
rnacentral:rRNA from 1 species